rnacentral:rRNA from 1 species
UACGAAGGGUGCAAGCGUUAAUCGGAAUUACUGGGCGUAAAGGGUGCGUAGGCGGUUCGUUAAGUCUGUCGUGAAAUCCCCGGGCUCAACCUGGGAAUGGCGAUGGAUACUGGCGAGCUAGAGUGUGUCAGAGGAUGGUGGAAUUCCCGGUGUAGCGGUGAAAUGCGUAGAGAUCGGGAGGAACACCAGUGGCGAAGGCGGCCUUCUGGUCAGUAACUGACGCUGAGGCGCGAAAGCGUGGGGAGCAAACAGG